GACGCGCACGCCGCCCUCUGACCCCGCAGCGUCGUGGCUAGAGUAGGGUCUGGAGAGAGCUCCCACUGUGGCGAGUCCUGUCGUUGGAUUCCCGCGGCGCCCCGUAAGGCUCCGCCCCGGCGGUGCUACCAAACCCUGUUCGAUUUUAGAAUCGUACAUUCCCAGAGGGAAUCCUAGACCCCUCAUUUUACAGUUGAGGAAACAGGCCCAAGUAGCAUGACUUGUUCGCGCCGCUAGUCGAAGGAGCAGCAGCCCCGAUCCCUUGACUCUGGGGCACUGCUUUCCCUUUAGCUCAUUUUUGGAGGAAAUGGGUGCGCCCUUGCUCGACCUUUGGUGAUUGCCGCCACAGGCCUUCCCGCCGGCUAACUCAGCGUGCCCAAGUCCCGUGACUUAGUGCCAGGACGGUGCUGUGACCCGUUAUCCCCUGUCGGGUUUUACCUCCCCCCGGGAGAGCUCAGCCCUGGAUCCCGGCGGGCGGCGGAGCCUCUCUGGAGCCCGGACGGGACAGCCCACCAGGGUCUGCUUCUGUGAGGGGCCGAGGCGUCAUUCCGCGAAGCCUUCUCCUUGCUGUUGCCAUGUGAAGAAGGAUGUGUUUGCUUCCCCUUCUGCCAUGAUUGUAAGUUUUCUGAAGCCUCUCCAGCCAUGCCAAACUGAAGCUGCUGGAAGGUACACAUCUUGGGAGUUUGCCCUUUGAAGCUCACCUGUGGACCUUUUUUCCUUUCGAAAAGAAGCAUAAGCUGCAAUAAAAAUUUGGUUUCAAGAUAACAAAGUCAGUCCCCAAAAAUCAGUAUUGAGAGUCACUGACAUUAAAUGAUGAAGAUACGAGGAUGGUGUGGGGACCUUUACUCUUCGAAGAUGAGCUAUACAUGCCCCUGAAAAGGCUGUCUGAAGACAGGGGAAGGCUGGAGAUGGCAACUUUGGCCUCUGCCAAGUACUCGUGCUAUUUUCUGUAUGUGAUACUAUCUGUUUUGUAACUCAGAGGCAACACCACAUACCUAGCAUAAGGCUUGAACUCCCUUUGGGGUUAUCAAUUACUUACAUAGCCUUCCUCUAAGGGAAGGCUUGCAAGUGGUUCAUAUUCGACCCUUCCAUGUGAUAAGCAUUCAUGUGGGCUUCACAAUGUAACAGAGGUACACAGAGAUUCUUGUAAACAGAAAAUUUUAUAAAACUGUUAACUGAUCUCACUUUGAAGAAGUCUUACUGACUAGAUGUCAUUUAUCAGAGUAGACAGGCUUAAAAUGCAUUGCUUGUACUAGACUGUUGUAAUGCAUUUUUUUGUUUUUGCAUUGGUUUUUAAUUCAUUUAAUUGGUUUACACUCAUUUUUUUUUUUACAUUCCAUUUUUGCAUUUGUAUGCCAGUUAAAAAUUAUGAAAUGGCACAUUGUGGGAUUUUGUUUAGCUAAAUUCUAGAAAAAUUGAAAGAUACCUUUUAUUCGACUUAAGCCUGAGGUUAUUCAGCACGGUGAUCUCUGCAUUUUUGAAAGGUUGUCUCGUCGUUUAAUAAACGUAAAUAACUUAAGCACAUUGGAAGAGCUAUUAAAUGAGAGCAGGAGAUUAAAAAGACAUGAUUUCUUACUUUAUCCACCUGACAGGAUAGCUUGCAUUGGUGAUUAACCUUGCAUUGUUAAAUUCAUUUCCUAAAUAUUUAGGUAAGUAGUUGGUUUGAUCAUUAUUUGUAAAGUAUUAGUAGUUGCAUGUUGAAUUAUCAUGUUAAGAUUUUUAGUUUGUUGUUCAUGUGAUAUGAAAGAUAACAAUUCCUAAAACUGAAUGCAUGCAUGGCUUAUUCAGCUCAGGUCACAUACAAAGAGAAAUGUGACGCUGCAAUAAACAUAGCAGAGCUAUCUGGGUUUGAAGCAAAAAGGCUAUGACGUUAGGUAUAUGCACUUUACAUUGUAUGUAUCUUUUUAGUUCUAGUGAACUCAUCUGGAAUCAUGUUACAGAAAAUGAUUCUCCAGGUCCAAACACAUUUAAGUUUAAUGACUGGGACUACUCUAACAAUUGCGGCUAUCUCAUUUUGUCUCAUUGGUUCAUUAGCAUAGCACCCAUUUAAGAACAACUACUUCUAAACACAGUAAUAUUUCAGAGGCUAUAAAAUAAUAGAGAAAGAAAACUUAAAAAAUCCUUUGUUUGCAGCCAAGAAAAUGUGAGGAUCAGAUUUGUACUUGUUUUGAACAAUUGGAAACUGUCACAAUUGUUUUUAAGAUGUAAUAAAUGUAUAUAAAAUAUGGGAUUCUAUAGUAUUAGCCAUUUUGAUAUCUUUUGUUGAAAGAAAAAACCAAAAAACCCCAUAUGUUCUAAGUCUCAGAAAUCAAAGAAUUCCACAAUUUUCAUUUCCACUAAAAUAUUUAUUUAAUGGAUAUCUUACAGAAAUAAAUAAAAACAGUUUUUGUCUAAUACAGAUAGGUUUUUUUAUAUAUAUGUAAUUUGAUUUUACAAAAUUGAAGCAUAUCAAAUUGUUUUCUCUAAAACAUAGCUCAGAAAGGAAUAGUAGAAAACAAACACAAAGAAAUACUGAAAUAGUCUCAUUUUUAAAUUAUAAGCAUGGGCCUUCUGAAUCUCAGCAUGACAUGUUAUUAGUAAAAGAAUGUAAGAUAUGGAGUCAGGGGACCUGGGCUCCACUGUUUACUUGCUACAUGUCCUAAGAAAGUUUCAAUAUAUCUGAACUUCAGUUCUCUACCUUUAAAACAGUAAAGAUAUUAAUUAUAUCAACUUCACAAGAUUGUUGGGUAAAUUAAACACGUAAAUGUACAUGAAAGCUCUUUUUAAUAUGUGAAGAGCUAUAAAAAUAACAGUUUGAUUUAAUUUCAUAUAAAAGAAUCAAUGGAUACCUCCUUUUAACUGAAGAAUAAGCACCAAAAGCAUGUGUGUGUUUUCUUCAGUUGAAUUACAUCACUCUAUAAACCUAGAGUAAGAAAAUGCACCUUAACUAAGCACCAAAGCCUCUCGGACAAAUGGGAUCUAGGGAAUGGUUCUAUGAGUUUUCCAGGCAGCUAACUGGGAGCUAAUAAGUCCUGAGGGUCAAAGAGGGUCCUUUAAAACUCUGAAGGCUCAAAGAAAAGGAAGCCAAAUAAGAACAUUUGUAUUACAUCAAAUGGCUAGGAUGUAACAAGCUACUCCUUAUUCAGCAAUUUCAAAGUCCAUUAAUUCCUCACAGAAGAAGAAACACUUCGUUAUUAUCACUUGCAACGAUUUGCUUAUGUGAACAUGGCAUUCUCUUGUUCAAAAGGUCAAAGACUCGUGCUUAAGGGAGGAACAACUGGAGUGAAAUAACAACUCUACCAUGAAUUCAGAUAUCACUGGCUAAAAAGUCUAGUUACACAAGAACAUGGGAAAGAAAAAGAAUCCAAGACAUCAGUAUAAUAAUGAUUAAAAAAAAAACCCUGCCAUAUUUCCAUGUUAUAAUAAAACAAAAUCAUAAAAACUGCAAUAUUUACAGAUACAUCAAUCUUACAACAUAUAAAAACUUUAACAAUAAGAAAAAUUAAGAGUAGGGAAAGCAGAUAAUUUUAAGGUAAUCAUUAAUACAUUAAAAAAUCUAUUUGGAGUUAACUGUUUACACUAACACCACUUUACACAUAAUAGAAAUAUGAAUAUUUUCAUUGUUUUUGUUUUCAGUAGCAAGAUGCAGAAGAAACAAAUAACUGUCUAACAUUAACUUAUUGUAAGGAGUUGUAUUACUGCAAAAUUACUAGGUGUAAAGUUAUGGUAUAAGCCUACUCAAAAAAUGGGUUAAUAUAAUUCACCAUCUACUUAAAAUAUUACUAACAAGAUAUUGGUGAAUCAUGUGCUAAAGAUACUGAAGGCCCUUCCAAAACUGAGAUCUAUGUUUGUUCAAUAUACCAGGUCAUAUAAAACUAGACUAGUUUACUUUCUUAUUCCAACUGUUUUAUGAGUGAUCUUAUCAUAAGAAAAGUACACAUUACCUCUCUUAAUUCCCUUGCAUCAUCAGAUAUAGAUACUAUUUGGGACAAAAAAUAAAUGUUUUAUUAGGAGUGUAAAAUUAAGAAUCUUUAUAGAUCUUUUGGAAACAGUAUAUUGAAAAGGACUCAAUAAGUACUAAGCCACUGUAUAACCAGAACAAUAAACAAAUUCAUUCAACUAGG